rnacentral:rRNA from 1 species
AUUGAACGCUGGCGGCAUGCCUUACACAUGCAAGUCGAACGGCAGCACGGGUGCUUGCACCUGGUGGCGAGUGGCGAACGGGUGAGUAAUACAUCGGAACGUACCUUAUCGUGGGGGAUAACGCAGCGAAAGCUGUGCUAAUACCGCAUACGCCCUGAGGGGGAAAGCGGGGGAUCGCAAGACCUCGCGCGAUUAGAGCGGCCGAUGCCCGAUUAGCUUGUUGGUGGGGUAAAAGCCCACCAAGGCGACGAUCAGUAGCUGGUCUGAGAGGACGAUCAGCCACACUGGACUGAGACACGGCCCAGACUCCUACGGGAGGCAGCAGUGGGGAAUUUUGGACAAUGGGGGCAACCCUGAUCCAGCAAUGCCGCGUGAGUGAAGAAGGCCUUCGGGUUGUAAAGCUCUUUUGUCAGGGAAGAAACACCGGCUCUAACACAGUCCGGGAAUGACGGUACCUGAAGAAUAAGCACCGGCUAACUACGUGCCAGCCGCCGCAGUAA